rnacentral:lncRNA from 1 species
CUCAAGCAACAGUGCCUUUGUUUCUGAGGGGAUGGAAAAGAACUUAUGUUGCCUUUUCUGCUUCUGAUUUUCUUUUCCCCCCUCCAAAUUGCUUAUAAGGACUUCUUGCAGGACAUAGAUCUCAUGACUGCUAUCCUGAAAAACCUGCUAUGUACCAGAUCCACAGGUGUGUGAGGCUGGAUGAUCAUCCUUCUGGUGGAAUGCAACAGUGAAGUACUCCAAGAGAGCGGAUGAAUCUGGAAAAAGGUAGAAGAUCGUGCUAAAAUGUAAUGUCUACAGGAAAGAGGAAGCUCUGCAUACAGCCAUGAGCAAAGCACAUUGAUGUUGACAUGUCCUGGUGUUUCUUACUCAGUUUGCGUCUGAGAGCAGUGGAAGGAAGACUCAGUGCGUGAUGCUGGAGUAUUAUGCAUCAUUUUACAGGCAAAGAUCAAACAUCUUUGUGUUUGCAAGGUUGGUUAGUCAGCUUCUGUGCAGAAACAGGAAAAGUGCUGACAAACUCAACAGAAGAAGUUCUGUCUUGUGAUGAAACAGCCCAUGUUCUAAUGACUGGUGACAGCAUGGAGAACUAAAAGUCUCACUCUGCAUAAAGAGUGGAUAUUAUCACACAAUAUGAAGACAAUGCAAAUAGUAAAGUCACUCCAGAAAUGCCAAUCUCUUCACCACUGAUCUCAAGGUAAUUUUCACCUAACUUUUUCUAAUAUUUGCCAGCUUCCUACAUUCAAUUGCUUUGUCAAAGCAGUUGGUGGUGUUAUAUUCCUUGGAAAGGUACAGCAAGGAAAAAA